rnacentral:misc_RNA from 1 species
UCCAGUUUGUUACUGGCAGUUUCCUUAUAGUUCCCGGCUUUACCCGCUGGCAAAUAAGAAUAGGGGUUGCGCUCGUUGCAGGACUUAACCUAACAUCUCACAACACGAGCUGACGACAGCCAUGCAACACCUGUGUGUGGUCCGGCCGAACCGAAGAAAUCCAUUUCUGGAUCUCGCGACCACCAUGUCAAGAGUUGGUAAGGUUUUUCGCGUGACAUCGAAUUAAACCGCAUGUUCCACCACUUGUGCAGGUCCCCGUCAAUUCCUUUGAGUUUUAAUCUUGCGACCUUACUCCCCAGGCGGAAUGUUUAACGCGUUAGCUACGGCACUGAGAUCAAAGACCCCAACACCUAACAUUCAUCGUUUACAGCGUGGACUAC